UUCUACAGAUACCAACAAACCCAUUAAAAUUAAAGAAUUAUUCUAGCACUUUCGACGAAACCCAACCACUACCAUCAUCCCAAAGAAGAAAAGAUUAGUUAUAUUACUGGUAUCUCAUCUGCAGGAGGGCAAGAAUUCAUCAACACCAAAGCCUGAGAAAACUGAAAAUGGGUUUUCAAUCAAAAGAACAAGAGAGUGAAUCGAAUAAGCUGAAUGAGAGGAUCGAAAAACUAGGCAAAACAGUGACGCAUCUGGAAACAACUAUGAUGCUGCUGGUGAUGGGUUAUAUUUUCUUCCAGGGCGCCAUAUUCUCGUCGAUUUUCCACAAUCCCAGCAACAUAUCGUGCGAGUAUUGGUGGAUUCCUUUCUCUCUCUCCUGUCUGAUUUUUGUUAUCUUCGCCAUCCCAUUUCAGUCUUAUGUCAGAAAUUGGGAGCGAACAAAACAUUAUUACUCCUUGACCUUUCUAAAGCAAGAUUUGCUUCACCACAAGAUGGUCAUCACUUCCUCCUCAGUCGAAAUCAAGAUGUAUGAUCAGCCGCAGCCGCCGCCCCAGCCGCAGCCACAGGGAAUAUUGAAGAGCGAUAGGGUACAAGUUUACCAGAUAAACGCAUUCAUAUGCCUGAUUUCUUCAGCCCUUCUGGCCUACACCAUCCUUAUUUUGAAGGCAUGCCGAUCCAUUCCCUGCCACGGAGAUGCUACACCCUAGACAUAUAUAUACAUACGUGUGAGAAUGCGCUGGAUGGUAGUACCAAACCGAAGACUUUUGUUGUGAGGGUACCAAAUAAACCAACGACGGCAAGGCUAUUCUCGAAACUUUCCUUGGUGCUUCGUUGCUGAUGUAAUAUUAACCCUUACAAAGUUACUUUGCUUUGUGGGUAAUUUGGGCUUAACUCCCCAUCCCCAAGCCAAACUUCAAAGAAAAAGGAAAAUAAAAUAACUGUUACAUUGUGCUAAAUCCUCGUCAUUUGAGUAUUCUGAAGUUCAUCUUUUGGGAUUCGCUUGUAAAUUAUUUAAUUUGAUAUGAAUUCAUGUAUUUUCAUAUAAAGUCAUAUUUGACCACUUGUGUUUUAAAGUA